rnacentral:rRNA from 1 species
UACGUAGGGGGCUAGCGUUGUCCGGAAUCAUUGGGCGUAAAGCGCGUGUAGGCGGUCCGGUAAGUCCGCUGUGAAAGUCGGGGGCUCAACCCUCGGAUGCCGGUGGAUACUGUCGGGCUUGAGUACGGAAGAGGCGAGUGGAAUUCCUGGUGUAGCGGUGAAAUGCGCAGAUAUCGGGAAGAACACCCGUGGCGAAGGCGGCUCUCUGGGACGGUACUGACGCUGAGACGCGAAAGCGUGGGGAGCGAACAGG